rnacentral:lncRNA from 1 species
UUGUUAAUUGCGAUUAACAUGUGAACCAAUUUCUAGGAUAAGUAAGACAACGCCAGUACUUACGAUGCCUUAUGAUGACUCAAACUCUUUUCGUUCUUAAUGAUUUCGACUUGUUAAAUCUAUGAACACGCCAUUCUAGAUUGCAUGCUAGGGACUAAGUUAAGUUGAAAACGCCAUUCUCUUAACAUACUAUGUAAGAAAGAGUAAUAGGUUGAGUUCUAACAUUGAGCCAACUUGAGCAUCUUCAUCCGGAAAUAAAAGAAAUUUGAAUGAAACAUAACAUGUUUGCAUGAUUAUUUGGUGGUGGAUAGCAAUACCCCUAACUCGUUUUUCUUAAUUUGUGAACUACUUAAAAUUUGUUUCUAUCCUGUUUUUGUUCGAUUUAAUUUAAAUAGCAAAUCAACUCCAAAAAUCCCAAAAAUUUGUAUGAGUGUAGCUUUGUGUGUUUAGUAUCUACAUAUAAAAUGUCGUAGACUUUAGAUAUGUAUAAGUCAGUCUAAUAAUUAUUUUUUGGUGGCUGGUCAGUAGGGACAGCAACCCAGUUUUUGUGACAUUUUAGGUAGUUAGAUAAAACAAUCUUCUGCGGGAAAGACCCUUAUUUUCAUAUGCUACAAUUGACAAAUCUUAGUGUUAAUAAGGAAAAUCAAUAGGACAUUUGUGUGCUACUUUGUGGUGUGCUUUUAAUCCUAUCAAAUUUUUGGCGCCGUUGCCGGGGAUUGUUAUUUUUAAUUACUUAUUUUUCUGUUGUUUUCUUUUCUUGUCUCAUUAGUGUUUUUGUUUUUGUUUUUAUUUCAGGUACUCUUCGUAGUAUAUGCAUACUCGAAGGUCCAAGAGCAUUGAUCUAGCUUCGUA